CCUACGGGAGGCAGCAGUGGGGGAUAUUGCACAAUGGGGGAAACCCUGAUGCAGCGACGCCGCGUGAGUGAAGAAGUAUUUCGGUAUGUAAAGCUCUAUCAGCAGGGAAGAAAAAAGACGGUACCUGACUAAGAAGCCCCGGCUAACUCCGUGCCAGCAGCCGCGGUAAUAUGGAGGGCGCCAGCGUUACUCGGAUGUACUGGGUGUAAAGGGAGCGUAGGCGGACUUACAAGUCAGCAGUGAAAUACUCUGGUUCAACCUGGGAACUGCUUGUGAAACUGUAAGGCGUGAGUGCUGGAGGGGAGAGGAGAAUUCAAGGUGGAGCGGGGAAAUGUGGAGAGAGGAGGAGGAACACCGGUGGCGAAGGC
rnacentral:rRNA from 1 species